UAAAAUGUAAAUUCCUUUUGGAGAAACAUAAAUCACCUUGUAGAUAAAAGGGAUAAUUAUUUAUUUAUCUUUGAAAAGUUUCGAACUUUCUUAUUUACUUUUCAUAGAAGACUAAAAUAAAAAAUAUAUUCUUUUAACGCUUUUAAGUUUUUUUAAAUAUAUCUCUAGAGUUAAAUUUUGUUAGUGAACUGUUAGAAAUAGCCGUUAUCUUUGUAAAAUUAUUAUUUUGUCCUAUCGUCACUAAUUUUUUUACUUGCCCUUUAAUUGGUGACAAAAGAAGUAUUUUGACUUUUUACCAUUUCAAAUAUACUUUUCUACCAUCACCAAUUUUUCUUAUUUGUUCUUAAGUUUAGAACAAAAGAGGUAUUUUAUUUUUUUUUUUAACUUUGAUAGAGAUUUAACCUGAGUUUAAUCCGAAAUUACUUAACGAAUACUAAUAGCGAAGUUAUUUUUGAAUAACAGAGAAAUAGACGAGAGGUAUAUUUGAAACAAAAAAAAAAGAAUUAUAUAAAACAUUUAAAAAAUUUUGAGAGAUAUAUAGAUAAUUAUUCAUAAAUAAAAAAAAAAACUAUUCUAUUAAAUUAUG
rnacentral:lncRNA from 1 species